rnacentral:rRNA from 1 species
AGUGAACGCUGGCGGUAGGCCUAACACAUGCAAGUCGAACGGCAGCACAGUAAGAGCUUGCUCUUACGGGUGGCGAGUGGCGGACGGGUGAGGAAUACAUCGGAAUCUACUUUUUCGUGGGGGAUAACGUAGGGAAACUUACGCUAAUACCGCAUACGACCUACGGGUGAAAGCAGGGGAUCUUCGGACCUUGCGCGAUUGAAUGAGCCGAUGUCGGAUUAGCUAGUUGGCGGGGUAAAGGCCCACCAAGGCGACGAUCCGUAGCUGGUCUGAGAGGAUGAUCAGCCACACUGGAACUGAGACACGGUCCAGGCUCCUACGGGAGGAAACAGUGGGGAAUAUUGGACAAUAGGCGCAAGCCUGAUCCAGCCAUACCACGUGGGUGAAGAAGGCCUUCGGGUUGUAAAGCCCUUUUGUUGGGAAAGAAAAGCAGCAGGUUAAUACCCCGCUGUUCUGACGGUACCCAAAGAAUAAGCACCGGCUAAAUUCGUG